rnacentral:rRNA from 1 species
GCAGGCGCGAAACCUUUACACUGCACGACAGUGCGAUAGGGGGAUCCCAAGUGCACAGGCAUAGCGCCUGUGCUUUUCGGUACCCUAAGGCGGUACCAGAAUAAGGGCUGGGCAGGACCGGUGCCAGCCGCCGCGGUAAUACCGGCAGCCCAAGUGAUGGCCGAUCUUAUUGGGCCUAAAGCGUCCGUAGCUGGCCGUACAAGUCCAUCGGGAAAUCCACCUGCUCAACAGGUGGGCGCCCGGUAGAAACUGUGCGGCUUGGGACCGGAAGGCGCGACGGGUACGUCCGGGGUAGGAGUGAAAUCCCGUAAUCCUGGACGGACCGCCGAUGGCGAAAGCACGUCGCGAGAACGGAUCCGACAGUGAGGGACGAAAGCCAGGGUCUCGAACCGGAUUAGAUACCCGGGUAGUCCUGGCCGUAAACAAUGUCUGCUAGGUGUGGCUCCCACUACGAGUGGGUGCUGUGCCGUAGGGAAGCCGCUAAGCAGACCGCCUGGGAAGUACGUCCGCAAGGAUGAAACUUAAAGGAAUUGGCGGGGGAGCACUACAACCGGAGGAGCCUGCGGUUUAAUUGGAUUCAACGCCGG